UGGCGGCGUGCCUAAUGCAUGCAAGUCGAGCGACGCAUACCGGAGGGGUAACCCACUGGUAUGACGGAGCGGCGAACGGGUGAGUAACACGUGAGCAACCUGCCCCACAGACCGGGACAGCCCAGGGAAACUUGGAUUAAUACCGGAUGCCCUCGGAGGAUCGCAUGAUCCAUCGAGGAAAUGCCUUUGUGCUGUGGGAUGGGCUCGCGACUUAUCAGCUAGUUGGUGGGGUAACGGCCUACCAAGGCGUCGACGAGUAGCUGGUCUGAGAGGACGAUCAGCCACACUGGGACUGAGACACGGCCCAGACUCCUACGGGAGGCAGCAGCAGGGAAUCUUGCGCAAUGGACGAAAGUCUGACGCAGCAACGCCGCGUGGGGGAUGAAGGCCUUCGGGUUGUAAACCCCUUUCAGGAGGGAAGAAAUUGACGGUACCUCCAAAAGAAGCACCGGCCAACUACGUGCCAGCAGCCGCGGUAAUACGUAGGGUGCGAGCGUUAUCCGGAAUCAUUGGGCGUAAAGAGCUCGUAGGCGGUUCAGCAAGUCGGCUGUGAAAUUUCGAGGCUCAACCUCGAAACUGCAGUUGAAACUGCUGUGACUCGAGUCCGGUAGAGGAGAAUGGAAUUCCCGGUGUAGCGGUGAAAUGCGCAGAUAUCGGGAGGAACACCAGUAGCGAAGGCGGUUCUCUGGGCCGGCACUGACGCUGAGGAGCGAAAGCGUGGGUAGCAAACAGGAUUAGAUACCCUGGUAGUCCACGCCGUAAACGUUGGAUACUAGGUGUGGCGUCCCGAUUAACGGUCGCCGUGCCGAAGCUAACGCAUUAAGUAUCCCGCCUGGGGAGUACGGCCGCAAGGCUAAAACUCAAAGGAAUUGACGGGUCCCCGCACAAGCGGCGGAGCAUGCGGCUUAAUUCGAUGCAACCCGAAGAACCUUACCUGGGUUUGACAUCACGGGAAAAGCUGUAGAAAUACAGUGUCCAUUAGGGCCCGUGACAGGUGGUGCAUGGCUGUCGUCAGCUCGUGUCGUGAGAUGUUGGGUUAAGUCCCGCAACGAGCGCAACCCUUAUCCUAUGUUGCCAGCGGUUCGGCCGGGGACUCAUAGGAGACUGCCGGGAUAACUCGGAGGAAGGUGAGGACGACGUCAAGUCAUCAUGCCCCUUAUAUCCAGGGCUGCACGCAUGCUACAAUGGUCGGUACAACGGGCA
rnacentral:rRNA from 1 species